GUUACAAUGGCCGAGUGGGCUAAGGCGCCAGUCCUUACUGAUGGUGCUGGGUUUGAAUCCCGUUGGUUACA
rnacentral:tRNA from 1 species